UACGAAGGGGGCUAGCGUUGCUCGGAAUCACUGGGCGUAAAGGGCGCGUAGGCGGCUUUGUAAGUCGGGGGUGAAAGCCUGUGGCUCAACCACAGAAUUGCCUUCGAUACUGCAUGGCUUGAGACCGGAAGAGGUAAGUGGAACUGCGAGUGUAGAGGUGAAAUUCGUAGAUAUUCGCAAGAACACCAGUGGCGAAGGCGGCUUACUGGGCCGGUUCUGACGCUGAGGCGCGAAAGCGUGGGGAGCAAACAGG
rnacentral:rRNA from 1 species